AAUUCUUUUUGCUUCAUGUUCUCGGUUUCGAACUGCCUAUUGUGUGAAAGUGAUCUUACAGUUCAUCCGUGUGUGGAUGUAACUUUAGAGCGAAGAUAGGUCUCAUGCAAGUUCAGUUGUAUGACAUACGAGGAGGUUUAACUGCUUGAGAAGACAUUUCCUGUAGAAGAGUUAAUCCUUAUGUUGCUCGUUCGAGGUCAAUCAAUAGAAGCCUUGCUAUAAAUUCUGGACUUCGUAUAUCUUGAUGGUGAAGUGGGAAGAAAAAAUAAAUGCUAAAGGUAGUUUUAUUUCAGUAAUCCAAAUAUCUAUGGCUCUGCAUAACGGUUAAUGAUGAGUGGUUGGAUUGAAUUGCAUAGGUCUAUUCUCAUCUUCUAUCCUGUUGUAUAUGCUUCACCGCUCCUUUUACCUGUUAUACGGUACCUUCGUUCUUAAACAGAUUAAAUAUUGUUUAUUUUGAGGAUGAAUAUAUAUUCACUUCAAGUUUCUUUCUUUGGAUAGGAUCCUCACCCUCUGUUUUUCCUGCUUGUACAAAACCUGCACAAAGCCCGUUCCAUGGAUGGUUGAAGGGGUCAAGAAAGUCGAUGAAGUUUCAGAGGUUUACCCCAGUAACGAAAUUUCACAAAAUUCAAUCAAACACCGCAAAUAUGGCAAAUCAAUCAUUCAUCCUAUUACCUAGUUUAACUGUCGGAUUUCAGCAGAUUCAAUCAAACACCGCUAAUAUGGAGAAGAAAUCCCAGAUUUUCACGGAUCAGCGCCCCGAAUCAAGGUAACAUGAUCAUUUUAACCUGUGAUGAUCUACUACUUUGUUGAUAUGAAUUGCCACUAUCAUAACUAUCCCUGUAGACACAAUUGACCACACGUGAUGAUAAGAAGCCCUUGAGAAUCAAAUUUGAUAGAUAGAGGUGGAACAGUUUUGGCCCCUUGUGACUGGGAUUUUGAUUGAGGUUUUUGUGGGCAAUAAUAGAACAACAAAUGCUUGAAGACAAGUAGAUGACGGUGGAUUAACGUCACGUCCAAUCAUUAUGUUGAUGGCACAGUAUGACACGUGCUGCAACUGUAGCUCCAAUAAUAGCUAGCAUAAAACAUCAAAACCCAAAGGAGAGAAGAGAAGAGAAGAGGAGAAGAGGGUUUUACAUAUCAUCAUCUCAGGAUGGAUGGAGCUGAGGAUGUGAUGCAUCUUGGUUCAAUUAUGUCUAAUAAUGUCGUGAUUGUCAAUGUUUUCACCUAAUCUUUAAGGAUAUGGGUCGGGAAAGGAGGCUCAUGUCAUAUCGGAUACACUAGCAUGUGCAAUUGUGCAUGCAUGUGUUGGCACUUUGGUUCACGUUUGACACAUAUGUUGUUAGAGUUUUAAUCAUUGUAUUUUUAUUUUUAUUUUUGUUACUAGAGAAAUUCACGGCUACUAAUCCUACUAUCUAGAUGACUGAAUAUAUGCACUGUAUGUGUAACAUUAUCUUGUAACUUUAGUCAAUAAAAGAAUAAAAGGCUAUAAAGCGAUAAACUAAUCAACAUAGUUUGUCCAUAGCUGAUUGAUUUAAA